ACGGCAGCACGGGUGCUUGCACCUGGUGGCGAGUGGCGAACGGGUGAGUAAUGCGUCGGAACGUACCGAGUAAUGGGGGAUAACGCAGCGAAAGUUGUGCUAAUACCGCAUACGCCCUGAGGGGGAAAGUGGGGGACCGCAAGGCCUCACGUUAUUCGAGCGGCCGACGUCUGAUUAGCUAGUUGGUGGGGUAAAGGCCUACCAAGGCGACGAUCAGUAGCGGGUCUGAGAGGAUGAUCCGCCACACUGGGACUGAGACACGGCCCAGACUCCUACGGGAGGCAGCAGUGGGGAAUUUUGGACAAUGGGGGCAACCCUGAUCCAGCCAUUCCGCGUGAGUGAAGAAGGCCUUCGGGUUGUAAAGCUCUUUCAGCUGGAACGAAACGGUACGCGCUAACAUCGUGUGCUAAUGACGGUACCGGCAGAAGAAGCACCGGCUAACUACGUGCCAGCAGCCGCGGUAAUACGUAGGGUGCGAGCGUUAAUCGGAAUUACUGGGCGUAAAGCGUGCGCAGGCGGAUUGUUAAGCAAGACGUGAAAUCCCCGGGCUUAACCUGGGAAUGGCGUUUUGAACUGGCAGUCUAGAGUGCGUCAGAGGGGGGUGGAAUUCCACGUGUAGCAGUGAAAUGCGUAGAGAUGUGGAGGAACACCGAUGGCGAAGGCAGCCCCCUGGGAUGACACUGACGCUCAUGUA
rnacentral:rRNA from 1 species